GGAUGGGCUCGCGGCCUAUCAGCUUGUUGGUGGGGUGAUGGCCUACCAAGGCGACGACGGGUAACCGGCCUGAGAGGGCGACCGGUCACACUGGGACUGAGACACGGCCCAGACUCCUACGGGAGGCAGCAGUGGGGAAUAUUGCGCAAUGGGCGGAAGCCUGACGCAGCGACGCCGCGUGGGGGAUGACGGCCUUCGGGUUGUAAACCCCUUUCAGCAUCGACGAAGCUCCAUCUUUUCGGGGUGGGGUGACGGUAGGUGCAGAAGAAGCGCCGGCUAACUACGUGCCAGCAGCCGCGG
rnacentral:rRNA from 2 species